UACGUAGGGUGCGAGCGUUACUCGGAAUUACUGGGCGUAAAGCGUGCGUAGGUGGUUUGUUAAGUCUGUUGUGAAAGCCCCGGGCUCAACCUGGGAAUGGCAAUGGAUACUGGCAAGCUAGAGAGCGGUAGAGGGUAGUGGAAUUCCCGGUGUAGCGGUGAAAUGCGUAGAGAUCGGGAGGAACACCAGUGGCGAAGGCGGCUACCUGGACCAGCACUGACACUGAGGCACGAAGGCGUGGGGAGCAAACAGG
rnacentral:rRNA from 1 species